GAUGAACGCUGGCGGCGUGCCUAAUACAUGCAAGUCGAGCGAACAGACGAGGAGCUUGCUCCUCUGACGUUAGCGGCGGACGGGUGAGUAACACGUGGAUAACCUACCUAUAAGACUGGGAUAACUUCGGGAAACCGGAGCUAAUACCGGAUAAUAUAUUGAACCGCAUGGUUCAAUAGUGAAAGACGGUUUUGCUGUCACUUAUAGAUGGAUCCGCGCCGCAUUAGCUAGUUGGUAAGGUAACGGCUUACCAAGGCAACGAUGCGUAGCCGGCCUGAGAGGGUGAUCGGCCACACUGGAAAUGGGACACGGUCCAGACUCCUACGGGAGGCAGCAGUAGGGAAUCUUCCGCAAUGGGCGAAAGCCUGACGGAGCAACGCCGCGUGAGUGAUGAAGGUCUUCGGAUCGUAAAACUCUGUUAUUAGGGAAGAACAAAUGUGUAAGUAACUAUGCACGUCUUGCCGGUACCUAAUCAGAAAGCCACGGCUAACUACGUGCCAGCAGCCGCGGUAA
rnacentral:rRNA from 1 species